AGUCGAGCGAUCUCUUCGGAGAGAGCGGCGGACGGGUGAGUAACGCGUGGAUAACCUGCCCUGUACCCACGGAUAACAUACCGAAAGGUAUACUAAUACGGGAUAACAUACGAAAGUCGCAUGGCUUUUGGAUCAAAGCUCCGGCGGUACGAGAUGGACCCGCGUCUGAUUAGCUAGUUGGUAAGGUAAUGGCUUACCAAGGCAACGAUCAGUAGGCGACCUGAGAGGGUGAUCGGCCACACUGGAACUGACACACGGUCCAGACUCCUACGGGAGGCAGCAGUGGGGAAUAUUGCACAAUGGGCGAAAGCCUGAUGCAGCAACCCCGCGUGAGCGAUGAAGGCCUUCGGGUCGUAAAGCUCUGUCCUCAAGGAAGAUAAUGACGGUACUUGAGGAGGAAGCCCCGGCUAACUACGUGCCAGCAGCCGCGGUAAUACGUAGGGGGCUAGCGUUAUCCGGAAUUACUGGGCGUAAAGGGUGGGUAGGUGGUUUUUUAAGUCAGAAGUGAAAGGCUACG
rnacentral:rRNA from 1 species